AGCGNNAUGCAGUCGAGCGGUACAGAAAGUAGCUUGCUANUUUGCUGACGAGCGGCGGACGGGUGAGUAAUGCUUGGGAACAUGCCUUGAGGUGGGGGACAACAGUUGGAAACGACUGCUAAUACCGCAUAAUGUCUACGGACCAAAGGGGGCUUCGGCUCUCGCCUUUAGAUUGGCCCAAGUGGGAUUAGCUAGUUGGUGAGGUAAUGGCUCACCAAGGCNACGAUCCCUAGCUGGUUUGAGAGGAUGAUCAGCCACACUGGGACUGAGACACGGCCCAGACUCCUACGGGAGGCAGCANUGGGGAAUAUUGCACAAUGGGCGCAAGCCUGAUGCAGCCAUGCCGCGUGUGUGAAGAAGGCCUUCNGGUUGUAAAGCACUUUCAGUCANGAGGAAAGGUUAACGGUUAAUACCCGUUAGCUGUGACGUUACUGACACAAGAAGCACCGGCUAACUCCGUGC
rnacentral:rRNA from 1 species